AGAACGCGGACGCGCUGUAAUAUUUAUUUUUUGUCUUAAAAUAGUUUUGCCAAGUAAUGCAACUAUUUACCUCGGAUAAAUUCAGCUUUCCAGAGGUUUAUCAGCGAGAGAAUGCAUGAAGAAAAUAAACGCCGAAGCCAGAAGUUCGUGGACAAUGCGAAAUUGAAUACUGACGAUGUCGUCGACGCUGGAUCUUACUGCUAUAUUAUAUUGCAUCUGCGUCCGUCUAUGGAUAGGAGAAAAGCUAAUUUACGAUCCACUGCUAUAAGAUAUUUAUUUAUUUAUUGAGAAAUACUGUCUAUGCCUCUAGCAAUGAUAUUGUCCAGCCAAAGGUAUCUCUAAAAUUGCUACAGAAGAUGCAUGACUAAAGGAGAAAUAGGAAUUGAGAUAAAUCUAAGUAUUGUUGAAAGCAUAAAUUCUACAACUGAUACAGCACAUUAAAGAAGGGAAUUUUAGGUUCUUUAAUGUAUGAAAACUUGUGAAAUUAAAUUGGCUAUAGAAGAAUAUUAAAAAUAGCAAAUUUUGGCAAUGGAAAAAAUAAGUGUCUAAGAAAAAAACAAGUGCCUUAAACGUUUUGAUUACCA